GACGAACGCUGGCGGCGUGCCUAAUACAUGCAAGUCGAGCGAAGUUUUUCUGGUGCUUGCACUAGAAAAACUUAGCGGCGCACGGGUGAGUAACACGUAAAGAACCUGCCUCAUAGACUGGGACAACUAUUGGAAACGAUAGCUAAUACCGGAUAACAGUAUUUCUCGCAUGAGAGAUAUUUAAAAGUUGGUUAUGCUAACACUAUGAGAUGGCUUUGCGGUGCAUUAGCUAGUUGGUGGGGUAAAGGCCCACCAAGGCGACGAUGCAUAGCCGACCUGAGAGGGUGAUCGGCCACACUGGGACUGAGACACGGCCCAGACUCCUACGGGAGGCAGCAGUAGGGAAUCUUCCGCAAUGGGCGGAAGCCUGACGGAGCAACGCCGCGUGAGUGAAGAAGGAUUUCGGUUCGUAAAGCUCUGUUGUUAGGGAAGAAUGGAUAUGUAGUAACUAUACAUGUAAGAGACGGUACCUAACCAGAAAGCCACGGCUAACUACGUG
rnacentral:rRNA from 1 species